CAGGGGGAAAAAGUAAAUGGUUUACUAAUUCGUUCCCUCAUUUUAAGUAAAUCAUGUGCACAACAUAAUAAUCUGUGCUCUUGUCACAAGGUGACGAUCUUUAGGGGCGGAACCAAAAUUCGGGAAGUUUGGUUCCGCCCGGAAGUGUUUCCGCCCGGACCGGAAAAACAGAACACCGGAACUUCCGGUAGCGCCGUAAGAAGGAAAAUCAGGGAAUUCGAUGCACCUGUGCCUAGUUAGGGACAGCGGUUGGUGAUUGGAGGAUACGCUGGACAAGGCAGUACUUAAGGCCAAGUUAUUUUACAGUCUGGGAGCUCUUUCUGGUGUGUGUGAAGCACUGUGUUGUGCCCGUCUUGGUGCGCUGCUGGUGGCUGUCUAACUCUCUCUCCCUCAGGCUGGAAUUGUAUGAUUGUGAAGACAUCGCGAACCUUAAAGGUUGAGAAGUGAACGGAUUAUACGGCGAACUGAGACGACGUGAAAAAGGGGAUUGGAAGCGGCAUUGAUGUGAGUACUAAGAGCCAGUCGAAAGUGCCCUGUAUAUUGACCUGGCAUUGUGUAGAUCUCUCCAGGAGGAGGAGGGCGGCCCUACCCCUAAUAUAGCGUGGUGGGAGAGCCGAAGGAAUACUUAUUGAAGUAGUCACAACGACGACAUCACUAGCUAGGCCGCAUAUUCCAUCGCCAGAUCCGAACCAAGCGAAGUGAAGGAAGACGGGUGUCCUUUUCGUACACUGAGUGUGGUGGGUGAGUCUUCGUGCUGUGAAAACCUAUAAUUUUGACGUGGUGUUGUAUAUUGCUGUGGGCUGCUGUGUAUUGCCGUGUGUCCUGUCAGAUAAACCCCCGCCUUCACGCACUUCGUCGCGGGAGGACAAGGAGACUGCUGGUCCUAGCCUAGUUCAGUACAGUAUAUGUUGUGAGCGUGCUUCAGAUCUCCGGAGAUAGCACGGUACGCUGUGUCCAGCCCAGAGGUGAAAGCCAUCCAAAGCAGAGUAACUGUGCUUUGUGUCCAAGUUGAUACCUGUGGAGAGGAAAGGAAAGAGAGACCGUUGCCUGUGGAGAAAGAGAGUGAGCACCUCGAGAACGAACUGUGUGAACCAGUACUUACCGUGAGCUGUAUUCAGCGAAGAGGAGGAAGAAGGAGGGCGCUACGGAUACCUAAGACUCAGGCCGGGGCCCGAGUCCCACGCCCCGGAUCCCCGUGGCCCCCUUGCUCCCUGACCUCUUCCCGGCCAUAGCCCAUCUGGAGGGCCGAGUCAGAGUUUAGUUUUAAUUGCCCUUUCCCUAUUCCCCAAGCUAUUUUUAAAUAUUUAAAUAAAGAUUGUUUUAUCACUUACUUGUUCUCGUGUUGUUUGGCCAUUGGGUUGGCUUUGGGGACCUCCUCGAGGUGGAAGUUGAGAAGGGGUGUGGCUUAGUCAAAGCAUAGCCAGCCCCUGGGUGUGACACUCUCAUUUUAAUUAAAUCCUACACACAAAUUAAUAAUUUGUCCUACUUCCUGUCCACAUUCUUAUAGACUGAUGUAGAUGGCUCUCACUUAAAAUGAUUCCAUGCAAUGGUGCAAGGCUUUUGAGAAUGUCUCUAUAACUCAUUCCCAAAGUAAAACCCAAUUAAAGUGUCUCUGUCCAUAACAUACUGUAACAUAAUAGCAGUGUAAGGUUUAUGAGAAUGAGGACUGGAAGUAGAACGAAUUAUUAUUUUGUGUGCACGAUUUACUUAAAACGAGGGAACAAAUUAUUAUAUCUAAUGCAUGAUUUUCUUAAAAUGAAAGAACGAAUUAGUAAAUUGUGCACAACAUUUUGUAAACCAAGGGAAUGAAUCAUGUGCACGAUUUACUUUUUUUUUCCCUGCAUGUUAUGUGCAGGGCUCGGUACUCUUCAGGGCUCACCAAGGCUGCAUUUAUUUGAUCAAAAUAAAAUAAAAACAAUAUUACAAAAUAUUAUUUUAAAAUUUUAAUAAAUAUUUUGUUUUUUAAUAUAUUUGAAACUUUUCUUUGUCCAUAUUUCAGUGUCAUGUGAUCCUUCAGAAAUCAUUGUAAUAUGCUUAUAUGCUUGUGCUGCUCAAUAUUUUCUGUAAACUGUGAUACUUUUUUUUUUUUGUCAGGAUUGUCUGAUGAUUAGAAAAUUCUAAAUAAAUGAAUAAAUAAAAAUGAAAACAGGAUUUAUUUGAAAUACAGAUCAUUUGAAAGAUUAUACAUGUCUCUACUGUGACUUUUGACCAAUUUAAUGCAUCCUUGCUGAAUGUGUUAAAUUAAAAAAAAAAAAAAAAACCUUACUGACCUUAAAUAUUUCCCAUAAUUGCUACUUAAUUUGUAUCUUGCAGGUUGCCUUUGUGUCACAGUUACUACUUUUUUCAACAUUGUUGAAACAGGCUUGCAUGUGAACUACUAUUGCAAACAUGGCUAGAAAACAAAAAAAAAAAAAACCCUUGGUAUCAUUUGUUUUCAGAUAUCACUUAGUUUGACAUUUUGUACCUAAUGCAAUGAAAUUACAUUUCCAAGAGUUUCUGAAUGUUUAGAGACUGCUGAACAGUACAGUAUGUCACAUCCACUAAGCAAACACAAGUUCCACACCCUAAUUUUCUCUUUUCUCUAACAGCAUUUGUCUCAUCGUCUGGUCUUUCCUCCCUCUCUUUCCGCUCUGCUCUAACAGUGCUGGCACCUGUCACU
ensembl:lncRNA